rnacentral:rRNA from 1 species
GUCUAUGGCCGUACCACCCUGAAUGCACCUGAUCUCGCCUCAUCUCGGAAGCUAAGCAGGGCUGAGCCUGGUUAAUACUUGAAUGAGAGA